GUGGCGGACGGGUGAGUAACGCGUGGGUAACCUGCCUCAUACCGGGGGAUAACACUUAGAAAUAGGUGCUAAUACCGCAUAAGCGCUCGGUGAUGCAUGGUACAGUGUGAAAAACUCCGGUGGUAUGGGAUGGACCCGCGUCUGAUUAGCUGGUUGGCGGGGUAACGGCCCACCAAGGCGACGAUCAGUAGCCGACCUGAGAGGGUGGACGGCCACAUUGGGACUGAGACACGGCCCAAACUCCUACGGGAGGCAGCAGUGGGGAAUAUUGCACAAUGGGGGAAACCCUGAUGCAGCGACGCCGCGUGAGUGAAGAAGUA
rnacentral:rRNA from 1 species